rnacentral:rRNA from 1 species
UACAGAGGUGCUCAAGCGUUGUUCGGAUUCAUUGGGCGUAAAGGGUGUGUAGGUGGCGCGCUAAGUCGGGGUGUGAAAUUUCGGAGCUUAACUCCGAAACUGCAUUCGAUACUGGCGUGCUUGAGGACUGGAGAGGAGACUGGAAUUUACGGUGUAGCAGUGAAAUGCGUAGAUAUCGUAAGGAAGACCAGUGGCGAAGGCGGGUCUCUGGACAGUUCCUGACACUGAGACACGAAGGCCAGGGGAGCAAACGGG